rnacentral:tRNA from 1 species
GCAUCCUUAGCUCAACUGGAUAGAGCACACGCCUUCUAAGCGUGCGGUUAUAGGUUCAAGCCCUAUAGGGUGUA